rnacentral:rRNA from 1 species
CCUACGGGCGGCAGCAGUGGGGAAUAUUGGGCAAUGGGCGCAAGCCUGACCCAGCAACGCCGCGUGAAGGAAGAAGGCUUUCGGGUUGUAAACUUCUUUUCUCAGGGACGAAGAAAGUGACGGUACCUGAGGAAUAAGCCACGGCUAACUACGUGCCAGCCGCCGCGGUAAUACGUGGGUGGCAAGCGUUAUCCGGAUUUACUGGGUGUAAAGGGCGUGUAGGCGGGACUGCAAGUCAGAUGUGAAACCCACGGGCUCAACCUGUGGCCUGCAUUUGAAACUGUAGUUCUUGAGUACUGGAGAGGCAGACGGAAGUCCUGGUGUAGCGGGGAAAUGCGUAGAUAUUAGGAGGAACACCAGUGGCGAAGGCGGUCUGCUGGACAGCAACUGACGCUGAGGCGCGAAAGCGUGGGGAGCAAACAGGAUUAGAUACCCCUGUAGUC